rnacentral:snRNA from 1 species
UGAUUCAACGGUAAAUAAAUAUACUAAAACUGGAGCUAUACAGAGAAGAUAAGCAUGGCCCGUGCACAAGGACGAUAUGCAAAACUGUGAAAUCUUCCGUUAUUUU